AUUCUGCUUUUUGGCCGAGAAAAAAAAAGAGAGAGAAGAAAGGGAAAGGAAGAGAAAAGAUAGAAGGAUUGUCAACUUGUGUUGUGGUUAUUAGUUAUUAUUGCAGGUGAUGAUUGCAUGAUAAUUUGGAGCAUUGGCAUGAGAGUGAUUCACGUUAGAUUUUUUUUUAUAAAGGUUGUAAUUAAAUCCAUAGAAUUCAUCUUGUAUUAGUAAUCGGUAGUAAGUUAGUUUAGCCUGUGCGUUUGAGUAUGAGAUACUUGAACGUGGCAUAACGCCCCCUUUUUCCUUUCUUGUUGUAGAAAGCUUCCGCUAUUGUAAAAGUUAUUUGUAAAUAAAAAAAAA